AAUAUUCAAGUCCACAGCAUCCUGCAAUUAGUUAAUUAAUACUAAAAUAACUCAGUAAAUUUGUGUUUGCAGAGAAAGAAAACGUGUGAAGAAAUACAUGAAUUUGAAAAGAAAAUACAAAGAAGAAAGAAAUUAUAUAUUAUAGGGUCAGGCAUGCAUGCUAUGAUAGUGAUUAAAUGCCAGCCUAAUCUCCUCUAGUGGGUAGGUGAAAGUGAUCACAAGAACAAGAUAAAGAAAGAUAUAUAAACAAAACAGGGCCUUGAUCUUGUUAAUUUAGACCAGGAAUUCAAAUUAUUAACAUUCGUGCACAAGCAUGUAGGUUUGAGUGUAAUUUGUGUCAAUUAAUCACUUGAUAACUAAAAUAAAACUACGCACACAGAAAAGAGAGAAAGAAGGAAAGAGAGAUGACCUGAGUCAGAAAAUCUUGAACUG
rnacentral:misc_RNA from 1 species